rnacentral:lncRNA from 1 species
CCGGAUGCUUUAGAGACUAAAAUAAAAAGCCUCCCGAAAGAUGGCGCAUCUAAACAACUAGCACUAGUUAGUAGGCAAAACGCCGCAAAAGGAUCGGAAGAGAAAAAUACAACUCACAUAUUCAUCAGAUCACAUUGAAGCGACAUGAACACGAUAUGUAGGCGAAUUCAUGGAACCUUUAGUAGUGCCAGUACUUCCAAAGUAUAGAACUAGAGAUACGAUAUGGUAUUAGACGAUGGAAUAUGGAUGAUCAAGUCGGAAGUGUCACUGAGGAAGGCUCUUGUGCAUUAGAUAGAUCAUAGGUACGGUGUAGCUUGACGGUUCCUCUUUGGCUUGCGCUCUGAGCAGUCGCAGCAGAACCAGGCGCUCAGGAUGCGGCACAGGAUCUCGCACCGGAGGCGGCGCGGCGGCGUCUCGCUUCCAUCGCCGUUGUUGUUGCCGGCGACGUGGGGACCGUCCAUGCAAAAUCAAGCUGAACUGCUGAAGAUGAUGCUGCCUCUAGUGUUGAGAACUGACAAGAG